rnacentral:rRNA from 1 species
AUUGAACGCUGGCGGCAUGCUUUACACAUGCAAGUCGAACGGCAGCACGGGUGCUUGCACCUGGUGGCGAGUGGCGGACGGGUGAGUAAUACAUCGGAACGUAUCCUAAAGUGGGGGAUAACGCAUCGAAAGAUGUGCUAAUACCGCAUACACUCUGAGGAGGAAAGUAGGGGGAUCGAAAGACCUUAUGCUUUUGGAGCGGCCGAUGUCUGAUUAGCUAGUUGGUAAGGUAAUGGCUUACCAAGGCAACGAUCAGUAGUUGGUCUGAGAGGACGACCAGCCACACUGGGACUGAGACACGGCCCAGACUCCUACGGGAGGCAGCAGUGGGGGAAUUUUGGACAAUGGGCGCAAGCCUGAUCCAGCAAUGCCGCGUGAGUGAUGACGGCCUCGGGUUGUAAACCUACUUUCUAGCAGGGAAGAAGCGAAAGUGACGGUACCUGCAGAAGAAGACACCGGCUAAC